AGGAAGUCAAGAUGGCGACGUCCGUGCCGAAACAGGAAAACGUGUGGCCGAUCAAAUUGCUUCCUCAAGAAUCAUAACUCCAUGGGAUACAAUGGCAAAGAAGAAUGGUCAUAUUCAAAAGUAUAGUUUCCGACAUCAAGACCAAGCCAGGCAGGAUUCAUCAUCCACUGCGAGGAUGCCUGGAGAACGAUAACGGCAAAGUUCUCCGAUGGAGGCAAAACACACUAUCGUAUAUCAUCAUGAACACUUAUCUAUCAAAUCUCCUUCAAAAAUUAAAUUCAAAUCUG